GACGAACGCUGGCGGCGUGCCUAAUACAUGCAAGUCGAGCGCAGGAAAUCAUCCGAACCUUUCGGGGGGACGUUGAUGGAAUGAGCGGCGGACGGGUGAGUAACACGUAAAGAACCUGCCCUCAGGUCUGGGAUAACCACGAGAAAUCGGGGCUAAUACCGGAUGGGUCAUCGGACCGCAUGGUCCGAGGAUGAAAGGCGCUUCGGCGUCGCCUGGGGAUGGCUUUGCGGUGCAUUAGCUAGUUGGUGGGGUAAUGGCCCACCAAGGCGACGAUGCAUAGCGGACCUGGGAGGGUGAUCGGCCACACUGGGGCUCAGACACGGCCCAGACUCCUACGGGAGGCGGCAGUAGGGAAUCUUCCACAAUGGACGAAAGUCUGAUGGAGCAACGCCGCGUGAACGAUGAAGGCCUUCGGGUCGUAAAGUUCUGUUGUAAGGGAAGAACAAGUGCCGCAGGCAAUGGCGGCACCUUGACGGUACCUUGCGGGAAAGCCACGGCUAACUACGUGCCAGCAGCCGCCGUAA
rnacentral:rRNA from 1 species